CUAAGGUGACUCCUUAUCAAGGAAGUAAUCUGCAGACUAUCUUUGUUUAAACUUGCAACCUGCUUUGUCAAGGAAAACUGCCUAUGAAAUUUUCAUUAUAAUAGACAGCUUUUCAUAAUGAAUGAAAAACAGCUAUUAUGAUUGAAAACAAAUUGCUCUGAAACAUAUUCUUUGAAACAAUGUGCUGCUUAAUUGUAUUUUGGAGGAGGGGGAGGCUAAGGCAAUUCUGUUUAAUUGGUUACAUUUUUCAGUUCUAUAAAUUAAUUUGCACUACCCAAUAUCACUUAAUUUUUCCCUAGGAAAGCUUUUGCUUGCCCUAGCAAUAUUAUAACUGCUAAUUCAAUUACACUGAAAUUGUUUAAUAGAAAAUAUAAUUGCUUAUUCAUACAGAAUACCCAUUAAAGAAGUGCAAAAGCGUGAACCUGAGGGUUAGUGCAUAUUAAUACUUUGGGAAUAAAGAUGGGAAUGUUGUGCAGAGAAGGUACUGGCUGAUCUUUAAUUGUUCAUCACCUGCCUCCAAAAUAAUAUGAAUGGACCCAAACUAAAUGACCACUCAUUACAAGUUUCAAUUUAGGAGCUUGGCUGGGGUCAGCAGAUUGCUUAUGCUGAUCUCAAUGAUUUGAAGUUGUGAUUACCAUAAGCAAUUUAAAUUUUAUUGAUCUCCCCUUCUGAAAGUUGUAAUUGAGCAUAGAUGUUGGACCCAGAGCUCUCCAAACUAAAUUGUACUCUGAAGCACUUGCUGGAUUCCUGCAAGAAUCAAUAAGCAGUCAGUCACAUUAACAAUGAAAUAGGUCCAUUAACAUACGGUGCUAUUGGUGAAACUUUAUUUAGGAAGGGUGUUAGUUCACUUCAUUGUUUUAUCAAUGGAUCUUGGCUGUACACAGAAAAGUAUUGCUUUAAUAUGUGUAAUAAACUUGUAUGAAAAUGAAAUUACAUUUUAUAAAUAUAUGGAAUGAGACUAGGUAGGCAGUUGAGUCCUUAUAUGAGAGUCAUUGUGAUUCAUAUCAUCAUUUUACUGUAAACAGAGGUUUUAUAUGACUGGAAUUGCAGCUUGCUUGCCGCAGUGCUUUGCAGUAAUUCUGAAUUUUUAUUCCUCCUUAUUAGAUACAGGGUUUCCCUCCAUCAAGGUUAAGUACGUCUCGAAGUCUCCAUGUUCAGUGGUAAUUAUACAAUUAAAAAAGUAAACAUAAACCUGGUGUGGUGGUUCAUGCCUGUGACCUCAGCAUUCUGGGAGAUCGAGAAGCACUUUUACUGAGCACCCACCAAGUCAAAAGGAGCAUUUCAAGUGCUCUGGAACCUUCUGCUUUCAUUUACUAAUAAUCCUCAAACAGAAUGUCUGCUUCCGACAUUGGCUUCUGAAAUAGAACAGAAUCUUAAUUAGCUCAUGAGAAACUCCUACUUAAGUAGUCUUAGAGCAAAUGGACUCAUUUCCUUCUCUAAUAGAUCCUCCUGUUGUUUGACUGUGAUGAGAAUGGUCUUUUAAAAGAGGCCUCAGGUGUGAAACCAACUGUUCAGGCUCAUUGUCAGCUGCCGGCUCCUAGAGUAUUAAUUCAAAAUUAGCGAAAAUAUAAGACUAUGUCUACAUUGGCCAACUCUACUGCAAAAUUGAGCAAUUUUCAGUUAAGGGUGCAGCAUCCUCUACAAUGCCCUUGAGGAAGAUUCAGAAGCUCAUUCUACUUCCAUCUGCUUCCAUCAUUAGAGAAAGAAGUUGAUUAAUUCAACCUCUCUAACAAUAAGAACGGAUGCUGUUAAACUAAAAGGGUGGUGGUGAUCCAACUUCAUUCACGGUAGAUGAGAAACUCCUGGGGGGAUGGCAGAAAAACAGAAAGUAUUUUGCAGGAAGAAGAGCCUUCUCAUGGGAAAGUUGUUGAAUUUGGUCCGAAUAAACAGGGUUUGCCUAUGCAGCGAUGGUUUUUUGGGAGAAGGUUUUUCUGUUAUUUGUAUUAGCUGAUCUUCAUCAUAAUAAAAUGACCUUGGAUGGGUAACUUUUCUGACUUAGACUGGCG
ensembl:lncRNA